UUAAGGCUGAGACUUGAUGCAUACCCGUUGUGGGGAAUUCAGUGAUCCUAUGCUGCCGAGAAAAGCCUCUAGUGAGUUCAUACACGGCCCGUACCCCAAACCGACACAGGUGAUCAGGUAGAGAAUACCAAGGCGAUCGAGAGAACUGUGGUUAAGGAACUCGGCAAAAUGCCCCCGUAACUUCGGGAGAAGGGGGACCAUGCCCGGUGAACAUCUUCACGGUGGGAGCUGGGUGUGGUCGCAGAGACCAGAGAGAAGCGACUGUUUACUAAAAACACAGGUCCGUGCGAAGACGUAAGUCGAUGUAUACGGACUGACGCCUGCCCGGUGCUGGAAGGUUAAGAGGACCGGUUAGCCGUAAGGCGAAGCUGAGAAUUUAAGCCCCAGUAAACGGCGGUGGUAACUAUAACCAUCCUAAGGUAGCGAAAUUCCUUGUCGGGUAAGUUCCGACCUGCACGAAUGGCGUAACGACUUCUCUGCUGUCUCGACCACAGACUCGGCGAAAUUGCACUACGAGUAAAGAUGCUCGUUACGCGCGGCAGGACGAAAAGACCCCGGGACCUUUACUAUAGCUUGGUAUUGGCGUUCGAUUCGGUUUGUGUAGGAUAGGUGGGAGACUGUGAAGCAUGCACGCCAGUGUGUGUGGAGUCGUUGUUGAAAUACCACUCUGAUCGUAUUGGACGUCUAACCUCGGCCCAUGAUCUGGGUUAGGGACAGUGCCUGGUGGGUAGUUUAACUGGGGCGGUUGCCUCCUAAAGAGUAACGGAGGCGCCCAAAGGUUCCCUCAGCCUGGAUGGCAAUCAGGUGUUGAGUGCAAGUGCACAAGGGAGCUUGACUGUGAGACUGACACGUCGAGCAGGGACGAAAGUCGGGACUAGUGAUCCGGCACCGGCAAGUGGAAGCGGUGUCGCUCAACGGAUAAAAGGUACCCCGGGGAUAACAGGCUGAUCUUCCCCAAGAGUCCAUAUCGACGGGAUGGUUUGGCACCUCGAUGUCGGCUCGUCGCAUCCUGGGGCUGGAGUAGGUCCCAAGGGUUGGGCUGUUCGCCCAUUAAAGCGGCACGCGAGCUGGGUUUAGAACGUCGUGAGACAGUUCGGUCUCUAUCCGCCGCGCGCGUAAGAAACUUGAGGAAGGCUGUCCCUAGUACGAGAGGACCGGGACGGACGAACCUCUGGUGUGCCAGUUGUUCCACCAGGAGCAUGGCUGGUUAGCUACGUUCGGAAGGGAUAACCGCUGAAAGCAUCUAAGCGGGAAGCCUGUUCCAAGAUGAGGUUUCUCACCACCUUGCGUGGUUAAGGCCCCCUACAGACCAUGGGGUUGAUAGGCCGGAACUGGAAGCGCAGCAAUGCGUGGAGGUGACCGGUACUAAUAG
rnacentral:rRNA from 1 species